rnacentral:rRNA from 1 species
CAGUCGCCACGGGAACACGUAGGGGGCGAGCGUUGUCCGAAGUUACUGGGCGUAAAGCGCGCGUAGGCGGCUUCUUAAGUCUGAGGUGAAAGGUUCAACGCUUAACGUGAACAGUGCCUUGGAUACUGGGGAGCUUGAGUAUGGGAGAGGGCAGUGGAAUGGCUGGUGUAGCGGUGAAAUGCGUAGAUAUCAGUCGGAACACCCAUGGCGAAGGCAGCUGCCUGGCCUAAUACUGACGCUGAGGUGCGAAAGCGUGGGGAGCGAACGGGAUUAGAUACCCCUGUAGUCCCUGUCUCUUAUU